UACAGGUACGGGNUNUGAGAGGAGAAGCCCGGAGAUGGGUANUGAGACACGGACCCAGGCCCUAUGGGGCGCAGCAGGCGAGAAAACUUUGCAAUGUGCGAAAGCACGACAAGGUUAGUCCGAGUGAUUUCUGCUAAAGAAAUCUUUUGCAAGUCGUAAAACCACUAGUGAAUAAGGGGUGGGCAAGUUCUGGUGUCAGCCGCCGCGGUAAAACCAGCACCUCGAGUGGUCAGGAGGAUUAUUGGGCCUAAAGCAUCCGUAGCCGGCUCUGUUAGUUUUCGGUUAAAUCCAUAUGCUCAACAUAUGGGCUGCCGAAAAUACUGCACAGCUAGGGAGUGGGAGAGGUAGACGGUACUCGGUAGGAAGGGGUAAAAUCCUUUGAUCUAUCGAUGACCACCUGUGGCGAAGGCGGUCUACCAGAACACGUUCGACGGUGAGGGAUGAAAGCUGGGGGAGCAAACCGGAUUAGAUACCCGGGUAGUCCCAGCUGUAAACGAUGCAGACUCGAUGAUGCAUUGGCAUAUAGCUAGUGCAGUGUCGCAGGGAAGCCGUUAAGUCUGCCGCCUGGGAAGUACGUACGCAAGUAUGAAACUUAAAGGAAUUGGCGGGGGAGCACCACAAGGGGUGAAGCCUGCGGUUCAAUUGGAGUCAACGCCAGAAAUCUUACCCGGAGAGACAGCAGAAUGAAGGUCAAGCUGAAGACUUUACCAGACAAGCUGAGAGGUGGUGCAUGGCCGUCGCCAGCUCGUGCCGUGAGAUGUCCUGUUAAGUCAGGUAACGAGCGAGAUCCCUGCCAUUAGUUGCUAUCAUUAUUCUCAGGAAUAGUGGGGCGAACUAGUGGGACUGCCGUUGUUAAAACGGAGGAAGGAAGGGGCUACGGCAGGUCAGUAUGCCCCGAAACUCUGGGGCCACACGCGGGCUGCAAUGGUAGUGACAAUGAGUUCCAAACUCGAAAGAGAGUGGCAAUCUCCAAACACUACCACAGUUAUGACUGAGGGCUGUAACUCGCCCUCACGAAUAUGGAAUCCCUAGUAACCGCGCGUCAUUACCACGCGGUGAAUACGUCCCUGCUCCUUGCACACACCGCCCGUCGUUUCAUCGAAGUUUGCUUUUAGCGAGGUGAUGUUUAAUUGGC
rnacentral:rRNA from 1 species